rnacentral:rRNA from 2 species
GCAUAUCAAUAAGCGGAGGAAAAGAAACCAACAGGGAUUGCCUUAGUAGCGGCGAGUGAAGCGGCAAGAGCUCAAAUUUGAAAUCUGGUACCUUCGGUGCCCGAGUUGUAAUUUGAAGAAAACAAUCUUGGAUUUGGCCUUUGUCUAUGUUCCUUGGAACAGGACGUCAUAGAGGGUGAGAAUCCCGUCUGAUGAGGUGUCCAUUUCUAUGUAAGAUGUUUUCGAAGAGUCGAGUUGUUUGGGAAUGCAGCUCAAAGUGGGUGGUAAAUUCCAUCUAAAGCUAAAUAUUGGCGAGAGACCGAUAGCGAACAAGUACUGUGAAGGAAAGAUGAAAAGAACUUUGAAAAGAGAGUGAAAAAGUACGUGAAAUUGUUGAAAGGGAAGGGUAUUUGAUCAGACUUGGUAUUUAGUUAUCAUUGCUCCUUGUGGGUGGUGCUCUAACUUUUUACUGGGCCAGCAUCAGUUUUGGCGGCAAGAUAAUCGCAGUUGAAUGUAGCUCCUUGGAGUAUUAUAGCUUCUGUUGAUAUUGCCUGCUGAGACUGAGGUCUGCGGCUUCUGCCUAGGAUGCUGGCGUAAUGAUUAAAUACCGCCCGUCUUGAAACAUGGACCAAGGAGUCUAACGUCUAUGCGAGUGUUUGGGUGUAAAACCC